CUGUGCAGAAUGCAGCCUCAAAGAAAGUUGCUCCAGCAGCAUGGAAAAUAACUCCCUGUCUGCACUUCUCUGGAAGAGAAAAAGGGAAGAAGUCGGGGUUCAAGCCUACCCCAGUCCUGAGUGGAGCAGAGGGGAAUGGGGAGGUUGCAGUUCUUGGCUUACAUAUCACAGAUUUGCCUGCUCUUUGUCAGAACGCCACUGGUUUUGAGAAAAAUACUUCUUAAUUUGCACUAUAUCUAUAGAACUGUUUCCACAGAUCUUGGAACCCUACUGGUUAACUGAAGUGCACUGCAAACUCAAAAGAGCCAACUCAAUAAUGAACAGCCACCCCCAACAUAAUUUGUCCUCCUUUGCUCUCUACCAAGAUCAACACGUGUGAAAAAUUCCUUUGAGUAUCGCUGAAAUUUACCAACCUUCAUGGCAAAAUCUAAGAUUUAGAGAAAUACUGCCGAGCAAGGCCAGCUCUUACUGGAGUAAACCAGAUCUUCAUGAUCCUGGAAUAAACUUUCAGAACUAUAUUGCUACAGAACCUUCACUGACUGCUCACCAAGGAGCUUAACCAAUGGAAAUAUCUCAGGCAAAA